rnacentral:rRNA from 1 species
CAGCUAACGCAUUAAGCACUCCGCCUGGGGAGUACGGUCGCAAGACUGAAACUCAAAGGAAUUGACGGGGGCCCGCACAAGCGGUGGAGCAUGUGGUUUAAUUCGAAGCAACGCGAAGAACCUUACCAGGUCUUGACAUCCCGUUGACCACUGUAGAGAUAUAGUUUCCCCUUCGGGGGCAACGGUGACAGGUGGUGCAUGGUUGUCGUCAGCUCGUGUCGUGAGAUGUUGGGUUAAGUCCCGCAACGAGCGCAACCCUUGAUCUUAGUUGCCAUCAUUUAGUUGGGCACUCUAAGGUGACUGCCGGUGACAAACCGGAGGAAGGUGGGGAUGACGUCAAAUCAUCAUGCCCCUUAUGACCUGGGCUACUCACGUGCUCCAAUGGACGAUACAAACGGUUCCCAACUCGCGAGAGGGAGCUAAUCCGAUAAAGUCGUUCUCAGUUCGGAUUGUAGGCUGCAACUCGCCUCCAUGAAGCCGGAAUCGCUAGUAAUCCCGGAUCACCAUGCCGCGGUGAAUACG